CUCCCCCCCCCAAAACUCGUUGUAUUGACCAGGAUCAAAUUUUUUUGUUGGCAAUGGACAUGUGUUUAGCCCAGUGAUCUCACCAAACUCGAGCAAGCUAAACCCGAUAGCCUCAUCAGCCACGAGACAUCAUAUCUCCUUCUUUAUAACUCGCAGCUGUCUACACAGUAGAUAGCGCACGGUCCUACCAGCCCACAUGCUUUCGCGUUCAGCUAGCCUAGCAACUACUCCAAUGGGAGAGUUCACCAGUUCUUCUUACACAUCAAGUCCUAUUGUUUCUCUAACGUGGAGGAAAUGCCCUGGAUGAAAAUUGUGAUUAAUAAAUUUACCAUCUAGGUUAGAAGACCCUUCAGGAUAAAAUCUUGGUGGGUAAUCCCCUGAUUUAACUUCAGCAGCAUCCAUCUGAUCAUAUAACCAAACAAUAAAAUCAGCCACAACAAAACAGUAACUCAACUGCAUCAUAAGAGUAACACAGUCAUAACAUAAUAUUAGAUUAUUCACGACACAAAUAUAACUCAGCCAUAACAUAACCAUAACUCAGCCGCAGCAAAACCCUAACUCAGACGCAACGAAACCCCCAACAAAACAAAAUCACAGCCGCAACACAACCCUAUCUCAGUCGCAACAAAAUAUAAAUCAGAUGAAAUAUAAUACAUAACUGACCCACAAACUCAACAAAACACAAUAUAUAACGUCGUGAUAUCCUACCGGAAAGACGAACUCGUAGAUAAGAAUGCGGCGAAGACGGCGGCGAAGACGAUUUCGUACAAACGAGUUCAGAAUUCUGAUUUCGGGUACGAUGAUAACAGAGAAAACAGAGUACAACGACAGAGAGCUAUUUCGACGAAGAGGAAGUUAACACAGACAAUGUCGAUGAUGAAGAGUGGGAGUAUCCUCGCGGUUCCUUCUUCGACGCUUCCUUCUUCGAGACGAGAAAACAAUGUUCUUAGUUAGUUUUUUUUUUAAACUUCGAUUUAGUUAACUCAAGAGAAGAGAUGGUUUAGUUUAUAUUGUGGUGGUGAUGUGUAAUUUUAAUUAGUGAUGCAUAUUAGUUGUUUAAAAAUAAUUUCAAUUUUUUAAAAAAAUAACCAAAGGCCCUUACAGUCAUUUAUAUAGGUGUCGAAACAUUCUAGUCAUUUAAAAAAAAUGUUCAAACACUCUAGUAAUAAACCAACUUUUCUUAUACAUUCUAGUCAUUUUCUCUUCUUUUUAUUCAACUCUCGCAUACCCGAUUUUAUUUCCAUAUUAUCUUGUACUGAUAACUAGUAGAGUUUUUCGUACUUGGAAUUUGUAUUAUCCAAUAACCAAACUUUCAUUAAUUGGCUUUGUGAUCCCGGUUUUUCGUUCUAUGAUCAAUUCAUCGUCAUUUAGCCUAAGCCAACAUCGUUUUACUUGACAAUGGACAUUUUAGUACUUUGAGAAAAUCGUUUUCUUUAUUCAUUUCUUAAACAAUGACAAAUGUUUCAACAUUUAGAAAAAUAAAGUUACAUUACAUCAAAAACCUCUUCCGACAUACUUUUAUAGUAACAAAAAUAUUCAAGAGUGAAUUGUUACACUAGUCUUCUUCAACAUCUCGCUGAACGAUGCCUCUGACGUUAAUGGCCCUCUGUUCCCCGCUGCUCGGUUUGAUUUCACAAAAUCGUAAAUUUAAUUGGGAAAAGAUACUUUAUACUCUCGGUAAGUAAUGUAUUUUCUCUUUUCUAUUGAAUUAUGAUUAUAUAUUGGGAUAAUUUGCUUAAAAACCAAGGAAGAUGGAGAAAUUAGAAAUUUGCCAAUAACAGUAAAAGUUUGAUGUGUAUGAAGACAAACGCUAGAGUGAAAGACGCAACUGCCCCUAAUACUUGACGAAUCGAUUUCCAGAACCUAGAUGAUGUACACCUAUAAGCUGACAGCGGGAUUUAUGUAGAUUUGGAAAGAUUAUAAAAAUAUUUUGUUUAGAUUUGAUAAACUUUUCUCGGUAAAAAAUAUAAUCGAAAUUACACCAAACCCACAUCUUCUUUCAUUGCCGACGUCUUUCUCUUCAUCUUCUUUCCUCUUUUUCCUAAGAAAUCUAAACAAAAUUGAAGAAGAACAUGAGUUCCAAAUAAUUCAUGAGUUCAUCUGGUUAUUUCUCCAUGCGUUCAUGAGGUGGUGGAUGCGGCGGAAGAAAACCACUCCUUUUGUCAAGAAGAUGAGAGGAGGACCUACUGGUUCUAGCAAAAGGCAAAAGCUUCAAGCUUUAGUUUAAUUUGUUCAAUGUUUUGAAGAAGAAGAGUCAAUGCGUCCAUUUUGGCGAGGGAAGUGGAAGAAAAACCAGACUGAAGAAUAGCAGCCUAAGGCCAAAAAACAUUGGAUUGGCCUUUCUAUUGUGAUACAAAUGUAUAUACUUAAGUUUAAGCAAGAAUGUCUGUUGGGUAUAGUCCUCGGUUACAGAAAAGCUUAGCAUGGUUAAGUUUAUUUUUGGUUUGAAAAUCUUUCUUGUAACCGAUGAGGGAUUAUGUUUACAGAACCGGUUAUAAGAAAUUUUAGCAUUGUUUGCUUUCUUGUUGGCGUGUUAAAAUUUCUUGUAACCAAUAAUAUAAUAAAAUAUCAUGUAAUGAAAUUGUCUUAUUGUCAAAUUGUUUUCUAUAACA